CAAUAUUUUAUGAAUAAACAUUAAGUUUGAGUUGGUCGUCACGCACGAUCGAUAGAAAUCGAAGAAACUCGGUGUUAUUUCCUAUAAAAAAUUAUAUUGUAAACGAAAUCCUCUCCCUAUACCAACUAAUUAUUUAUUCGGCUUUGAUAAGGAGUUUGCAUGCCAUCUAACAAUCAAAAUAGUUAAAAUAUAAGGUAAACUAAGUUUUUCCUCUUUCUUUAUUAUCAUUCUUUUAAAUUAACCUAGUAGUAAUUAAAAUUCCCAAUGCGUAAAAGGUUGAAAUGAAAUAAAUGAUUAAUUGGUUAAUUAACGUCUUUAACCGACGUUCCGCCACGUAAAUUCAACCAAUACUCAUAUAUGCUUUACUUCCUUUUUAAUUUAUUUUUAUGUUAUUUUAUUAUUUUCUCCAUAUUUUUUUUUCACUUUCUUUCCUUAUCAUUUCCAUUCUUGUUGGGCACGUUUCUCCGGACGACUCGGGAAAUUUGCGGACAGUCGAGAUGUUUAAACACGUGACUCAUGUACAAUGUAACGUUUGCGUGCUCGAAUUUGCAGAUCAACACUGACAUCUGUACGCAUCGUCGGCUUUUAUUACGCAACAAUUCAUUGGAAUUUUAACGACUUUAUAACCCGCUUGGAAAACUUCCCAAUCGAAAUUCGAUACUCUUCGAAAUCGAGCGUAAAACGAGCAAUUUUGAGUAUAAUUCACUAAAUAAACUGCAUUCCCGCAUAAACACUCAGUUCGUCUUUUAUUCAAAGUAACGGAUCGAGAUGUUCUGAAAUACACAAUAAAUUUUAAUUAUAGCUAUUUUGUUGAUAAAAAAAUUAAAUAUAAAUAUAAGAAUCACAUGACCCAUUUAUCACGUGGUUGCUCAAUUGUUCCGAAGGUCGAGGCUGCUUGUCCUUUUGAUGAUCUUCGGUUUUUAGCGGAAGUUCCCCCAAAGGUUAUAAUGGCCUGUGUAAAAGAUUUCGAGGACUACGCCUAUAAGUACUUACCUAAAUCUGCUUUAGAUUAUUACAUCAGUGGCUCAAAUGACGAGCAAACAGUCAAUGAUAAUAUUAAGGCGUUCAAGAGAUAUAAAAUAAGACCAAGAAUAUUACGAGAUGUUUCUAACAUUGAUACAAGUACAACAAUAUUGGGAUAUAAAAUAUCUUUUCCCGUUUGCAUCGCUCCAACAGCAAUGCACGGCUUAGCUCACGACGAGCGCGAGAUUGGAACGUGCAAAGGGGCGUUUCGAGCCGGAACGGCCUAUACACUAAGUACCAUAGCUAAUUCUUCAAUAGAGGAAAUUGCCGAAUCCAAUCCAAAUGCUUUAAAGUUCUAUCAAUUAUACAUAUUCAAAAAGGAUAAGAGCGUAACGGAGGAGCUUGUCAGGAGGGCAGAAGAAGCCGGCUAUAAAGCUCUCUUUCUGACUGUUGAUUCGCCAUUCUUCGGUAAGAGAAUAGCCGAUGAAAAGAAUAAUUUCAAGACACCAGCCCAUCUAAAAAUGGCCAAUUUCGAGUCAUUAAAGGGAUAUUCUAGGGACGGUGUUAGCAAAAAUUCCGGAAGUGGGUCGGGACUAGGUGAAUAUUCUAGGAGGUUAUUUAGUUCUUCUGUCACCUGGCAAGAUGUUAUUUGGCUAAAAAAUUUUACUAAAUUACCUCUUGUACUAAAAGGAAUUUUGACCGCCGAAGAAGCAAGAAAGGCAGUCGAAAUUGGAGUGAGCGCAAUUGUCGUCUCGAAUCACGGUGGAAGGCAAUUAGACGGUGUUCCUGCUUCGAUUGACGCCCUUAGGGAAGUUGUAAAGGCUGUACAAGGGUCGAACGUUGAAGUUUACUUGGAUGGAGGUGUUCGUUUGGGGACUGACGUUUUUAAAGCCAUUGCGUUGGGAGCGAAGGCCGUUUUCAUUGGACGCCCAGCACUUUUUGGCUUAGCGUACGAUGGAGCAGCAGGUGUUGAAAAACUAUUAAACAUACUGAAAGAAGAGUUUAAUACGUCAAUGGCUUUAGCCGGUUGUCGGAACGUGAGAGAAUUACAAACCGAAGAGUCUUUAGUUGUUCACGAGUCUUAUUAUUCAAGAUUAUAGGCCUAAUGAAGUGGAUGCAUGAUUCAUUAUUAUAAAAUAUGAUUAUCAAAUGCCCAGGAAAGCAAAAAAAAUUAGUAUUGCAACAUUAUUCAUAUCCCUAUAAUAGAAACAUAAAUAUUCCUUAUUAGUACAUCAAUCACAUCCUAAUCUUUUGAAUAAUCUCCCUUAUCUGAUUAGCAAAAAUAUAUAUAUAUAUAUAUAUUUGUAUUCAGAUAAUUAUUAUAAACAGUUAAUAUCAUUCAUUGAAAAAAAAAUCUAAAUAGUCAUAAGGAUAGCUUACUUAGAGUAGGAUGCAUUAUACAUAAAAGUAACGAACCGAAUGCAUCUUCCCAUAGUCAUUAGUAGGCGUCGAAAGACUUUAAAAUAUUCAUUAUCUUCCAUUUCCAAACACUAACCUCCUUUUUUUUUUAUCUUUCUUACUUAAGUUUCUCUUAUAGUCAAUAUACUUUUCUUCUAUCUUGCGAUAAAAACAUUAAAGAAUGAAAGUAUCUAAACAAUACUUUUACUGUUCUGCUAUAAGUCUAUAAUAUAACUAUUUAAUGACAACAGAAUAAUAUAGUAAAAAAAAAACAACCCUAACUAUAACCUCUUCUCAAUGUAGCGAUUCACACAAUGAACUACUUUCAUAAAGAAUAAUUGAUAAAGAAAAUAUAUGAAAUAUAGCAGAAGAAGAAGACGAAGAGGAAGCAGAAGUAUAAAUAGACAAUAGAUGUAUAUACUAUAUUCUAUUUCUUCUCUCAUAAACUAUAAGAAUUAUAAAGAAGUUAAUUAAAAUUAUUUAUAUUAUAAAUUUUACUUGGAGAAGGAGGAAGAGUUCAGGCUCAGAUAGCUUAAAAUCGAACAAGAGAUCGAGGGGAGUAGUCUGUUAUGUUGUUAAAUCUUUUAUUAUCCUUUUCUAAUAUAUAAUAGAACUAUUGAAAGAUUUUUUUAAGGAAUACUGUAGUUUUUUACAGUAUAAAUUUAUACUUGUAUUUCAUGACUUCUAUGAUAAGAGUCUCUCCGCUUUUUAUAUAUCUUCAACAUUUUGAAAAUUUUACAUGCUAUAAAUAUAUGGCGUAUCAUAUAACUGUCGUAUUUGGGUCGUGUUUCAUAGCAUUGAAAGUGCCACCUUUAGGCCCGGCCAAUAUGAUAUUUGUUUAUAAAUGGAAUAGGUCACGUGAUCAUUAUUAUUUAUUUAUAAGAGCUGCCUUAUAAGGAGGGGGGCCUAUCGUCGUUAGAAAAUCACAUAUGUAUUUUAUAUAUGGAGUAUACACAGUAUAUUAUAUAUAUAUAUAUACGGUUUAUAGAUAGAUAUAUCUUAGUUUUUCUUCUCUAAAAGGGCUAUUGUUGUUGAAGCUACUUUGAUCAUUCGCCGAAACUAACUCUUCUUUGCAAGCUAGUGAAGCUGUCUCUUUUUGAAGAGAGAGGGAGGAUAGAAAAUUCUAAAACACAGAGCUAACAGAAGAAGAAGAAGAAGAAGAAGAAGAA
rnacentral:misc_RNA from 1 species